UCUCUCUCUUUCUCUCUCUAACCAGGGUUCGCUCUUCCUUCACCCGCCCCCUCUCCUACAUCCGCCUGUCUCCGCCACCUUUCCUCCUUUCUGAGACGGCGGCGACGGCGGGCCGGGAACUGGCCAUGCACGGCGGCGGCAGAUUGGACGGAGACCACGAUUCCGAUCUCCCCCCCUACCUCCGGAUCACCUCGCACCUUCGC
rnacentral:lncRNA from 1 species